rnacentral:rRNA from 1 species
GACGAACGCUGGCGGCGUGCUUAACACAUGCAAGUCGAACGGAAAGGCCCUGCUAUUGUGGGGUGCUCGAGUGGCGAACGGGUGAGUAACACGUGAGUAACCUACCCUUGACUUUGGGAUAACCUCAGGAAACUUGGGCUAAUACUGGAUAGGAGCUCCUGCAGCAUGGUGUGGGUGGGAAAGAUUCGGCGGUUGGGGAAGGUCUCGCCGCUUUUCUGCUUGUUGGUGGGGAAGUGGCUUACCAAGGCUUUGACGGGUAGCCGCUCUGUGAAGGUGACCGGACACAUUGGGACAGAGAUACGAGCCGGACUCCUACGGGAGGCAGGAUUGCGGAAUAUUGCACAACGAGCGGGAGCCUAAUGCAGCAAAGCCGCGUGCGGUAUGACGGCCUGCGGGUUGAAAACCGCUUGCAGCUGAAACGAAGCGUGAGUAACGGUAAUGGGUAAAGAAGCACCAGCUAACUACGUG